UUCUAUCAUGAGAUGGGUCCUACUAUGAG
rnacentral:piRNA from 1 species